GUCCUAGCUGUAAACGAUGAGUACUGGGUAGGGUUGGUCCAAUGCCAGCCCUGCCGGAGCAAAUGUGUUAAGUACUCCGCCUGGGGAGUAUGGUCGCAAGGCUAAAACUCAAAGGAAUUGACGGGGGCUCACACAAGCGGUGGAGCAUGUGGUUUAAUUCGAAGCAACGCGAAGAACCUUACCCGGGUUUGAAAUGUACGGAUUAGGAUGCUGAAAGGUGUCUGACGCCGCAAGGUGGAACGUACACAGGUGUUGCAUGGCUGUCGU
rnacentral:rRNA from 1 species